rnacentral:rRNA from 1 species
AGAGUUUGAUCCUGGCUCAGGAUGAACGCUAGCGACAGGCCUAACACAUGCAAGUCGAGGGGCAGCGAAGAGGUAGCAAUACCUUUGUCGGCGACCGGCGCACGGGUGAGUAACACGUAUGCAAUCCACCUGUAACAGGGGGAUAACCCGGAGAAAUCCGGACUAAUACCCCAUAAUAUGGGCGCUCCGCAUGGAGAGCCCAUUAAAGAGAGCAAUUUUGGUUACAGACGAGCAUGCGCUCCAUUAGCCAGUUGGCGGGGUAACGGCCCACCAAAGCGACGAUGGAUAGGGGUUCUGAGAGGAAGGUCCCCCACAUUGGAACUGAGACACGGUCCAAACUCCUACGGGAGGCAGCAGUGAGGAAUAUUGGUCAAUGGUCGGCAGACUGAACCAGCCAAGUCGCGUGAGGGAAGACGGCCCUACGGGUUGUAAACCUCUUUUGUCGGAGAGUAAAGUACGCUACGUGUAGUGUAUUGCAAGUAUCCGAAGAAAAAGCAUCGGCUAACUCCGUGCCAGCAGCCGCGGUAAUACGGAGGAUGCAAGCGUUAUCCGGAUUUAUUGGGUUUAAAGGGUGCGUAGGCGGCACGCCAAGUCAGCGGUGAAAUUUCCGGGCUCAACCCGGAGUGUGCCGUUGAAACUGGCGAGCUAGAGUACACAAGAGGCAGGCGGAAUGCGUGGUGUAGCGGUGAAAUGCAUAGAUAUCACGCAGAACCCCGAUUGCGAAGGCAGCCUGCUAGGGUGAAACAGACGCUGAGGCACGAAAGCGUGGGUAUCGAACAGGAUUAGAUACCCUGGUAGUCCACGCAGUAAACGAUGAAUACUAACUGUUUGCGAUACAAUGUAAGCGGUACAGCGAAAGCGUUAAGUAUUCCACCUGGGGAGUACGCCGGCAACGGUGAAACUCAA